UACGUAGGGUGCAAGCGUUAAUCGGAAUUACUGGGCGUAAAGCGUGCGCAGGCGGUUUUGUAAGUCAGAUGUGAAAUCCCCGGGCUUAACCUGGGAACUGCGUUUGAAACUACAAGGCUAGAGUGUGGCAGAGGGGGGUGGAAUUCCACGUGUAGCAGUGAAAUGCGUAGAGAUGUGGAGGAACACCGAUGGCGAAGGCGGCGUUCUGGACUGCAACUGACACUGAGGAACGAAAGCCAGGGGAGCAAACGGG
rnacentral:rRNA from 1 species